rnacentral:lncRNA from 1 species
AAUGACCAAAAUAUGCAAAACGCAUCCGCUAAUAAAAAUGAUCAACUACUCAUUUAUUGAUCUUCCCACACCAUCUAACAUCUCUACAUGAUGAAGCUUUGGCUCACUUCUUGGUGCCUGCUUAAUUCUCCAAAUCAUUACAGGACUAUUCCUGGCCAUACACUAUAUAUCAGAUACCUCAACUGCCUUCUCUUCAGUCACUCAUAUUAGCCGAGAUGUAAACUAUGACUGAAUAGUCCGCUAUUUUCAUGCUAACGGUGCUUCAAUAUUCUUCAUCUGCCUCUUCCUACACAUUUGGCCAAGGCUUAUACUACAGGUCAUUUAUAUUCCUAGAAACCUGAAACACUGGCAUUAUCCUCCUACUCACAACUAUAGGAACCACAUUCAUAGGCUACAUGCUCCCAUGAGGCCAAAUAUUAUCCUGAGGUGCUACAGUAAUUACAAACCUACUAUCACCCAUCCCAUAUAUUGGAACUGACCUUGUACAAUGAAUCUGAGGUGGAUUCUCAGUUGAUAAAGUCACCGUUACAUGAUUUUUACGCCUUCCAUUUCAUUUUACCCUUCAUCAUCACAGCUCUAGCAACUAUUCAGCUUUUAUUCUUACAUGAAACAUGAUCUAACAAUCCUUCACGGAUCUCGGACAAAAUCACUUUCCACCCCAUUAUACAAUCCAAAGAUAUUCUAGGCUUAAUUUUUCUCCUCCUCCUCUUAAUAAUUUUAGUACUAUUUUCGCCUGAUCUCCUGAAUGACCGAGAUAAUUACAGUUUAGCCAGCCCCCUCAAUACCCCACCCCACAUUAAGCCAGAGUGAUACUUUUUGUUUGCAUACGCAAUCUUACAAUCCAUCCCUAACAAACUAGGAGGUAUACUAGCCCUUUGAUCUCCCAUUCUCAUCUUAACAGUUAUCUCUGUACUCUACAUGUCUCAACAACAAAGCAUAAUAUUCUAUCCAUGAAGUCAGUGCCUUUUCUGGAUCUUAGUGGCUGACCUGUCACACUCACAUGAAUUGGAGGAUAGCCUGUCAAAUAACCUUUUGUUACUAUUUGACAGACAGCAUCCAUUAUGAACUUCUCUACCAUCCUCACCCUAUACCACUCACUGCCCUAAUUGAAAAUAAGCUACUU